rnacentral:tRNA from 1 species
UGGGGCGUGGCCAAGUGGUAAGGCGCCGGGUUUUGGUCCCGCUAUUCGAGGGUUCGAAUCCUUCCGUCCCAG